CCUACGGGAGGCAGCAGUGGGGAAUAUUGCACAAUGGGGGAAACCCUGAUGCAGCAACGCCGCGUGAAGGAAGACGGUUUUCGGAUUGUAAACUUCUGUUCUUAGUGAAGAAUAAUGACGGUAGCUAAGGAGCAAGCCACGGCUAACUACGUGCCAGCAGCCGCGGUAAUACGUAGGUGGCAAGCGUUGUCCGGAAUUACUGGGUGUAAAGGGCGUGUAGGCGGGAGCGCAAGUCAGAUGUGAAAACUCAGGGCUCAACCCUGAGCCUGCAUUUGAAACUGUGUUUCUUGAGUGCUGGAGAGGCAAUCGGAAUUCCGUGUGUAGCGGUGAAAUGCGUAGAUAUACGGAGGAACACCAGUGGCGAAGGCGGAUUGCUGGACAGUAACUGACGCUGAGGCGCGAAAGCGUGGGGAGCAAACAGGAUUAGAUACCCUUGUAGUC
rnacentral:rRNA from 1 species